GUAAUCUUUUCAUCGUC
rnacentral:rRNA from 1 species